GACGAACGCUGGCGGCGUGCUUAACACAUGCAAGUCGAACGGAAAGGCCCUGCUUUUGUGGGGUGCUCGAGUGGCGAACGGGUGAGUAACACGUGAGUAACCUGCCCUUGACUUUGGGAUAACUUCAGGAAACUGGGGCUAAUACCGGAUAGGAGCUCCUGCUGCAUGGUGGGGGUUGGAAAGUUUCGGCGGUUGGGGAUGGACUCGCGGCUUAUCAGCUUGUUGGUGGGGUAGUGGCUUACCAAGGCUUUGACGGGUAGCCGGCCUGAGAGGGAGACCGGCCAGCUGGGCAUGGAGAAACGGCCCAGAGCACUUCGGGGGGGAGGGGGGGGGAGUAUUGCCAAAGGGGCGGAAGCCAGGUGCAGCAACCCCGGGUGGGGGAGAAAGGCCUUCGGGUUGAAACUCGGUUUCGCUUGGGAAGGACGGUGAGUGCGGGUAAUUGGGAAGGAGGCCCCGGCAAAUUACUG
rnacentral:rRNA from 1 species